rnacentral:rRNA from 1 species
UACGGGGGGAGCAAGCGUUGUUCGGAUUUACUGGGCGUAAAGGGCGCGUAGGCGGCCAGCACAAGUCAGUUGUGAAAUCUCCGGGCUUAACUCGGAAAGGUCAACUGAUACUGUGCGGCUAGAGUGCAGAAGGGGCAACUGGAAUUCUCGGUGUAGCGGUGAAAUGCGCAGAUAUCAGGAAGAACACCCGUGGCGAAGGCGGCUCUGUGGGACGGUACUGACGCGAGACGCGAAAGCGUGGGGAGCGAACAGG